rnacentral:rRNA from 1 species
UAGGGAAUCUUCCACAAUGGACGCAAGUCUGAUGGAGCAACGCCGCGUGAGUGAAGAAGGUUUUCGGAUCGUAAAACUCUGUUGUUAGAGAAGAACGUGUGUGAGAGUAACUGUUCAUGCAGUGACGGUAUCUAACCAGAAAGCCACGGCUAACUACGUGCCAGCAGCCGCGGUAAUACGUAGGUGGCAAGCGUUAUCCGGAUUUAUUGGGCGUAAAGCGAGCGCAGGCGGUUUUUUAAGUCUGAUGUGAAAGCCCUCGGCUUAACCGAGGAAGCGCAUCGGAAACUGGGAAACUUGAGUGCAGAAGAGGACAGUGGAACUCCAUGUGUAGCGGUGAAAUGCGUAGAUAUAUGGAAGAACACCAGUGGCGAAGGCGGCUGUCUGGUCUGUAACUGACGCUGAGGUUCGAAAGCGUGGGUAGCAAACAGGAUUAGAUACCCUGGUAGUCCACGCUGUAAACGAUGAAUGCUAAGUGUUGGAGGGUUUCCGCCCUUCAGUGCUGCAGCUAACGCAUUAAGCAUUCCGCCUGGGGAGUACGACCGCAAGGUUG